rnacentral:misc_RNA from 1 species
AAAAUAUCUCCCUGCGCUUUUCCGAGUCCUUUUCCCUCCAAGGAACAGAAACAACCGGAGCUUUUACCCCACCCGCUUUCCCCUCCCCGCCAGGAACAACAGGGCUCCUCGCAAUAAUUCGUCCAUCCAUGGCGAAGCUCGUCAACAAGCUGGUCGAUUCGUUCGACCACCACGAGGCGCCGGCGCCGGACGUCGGCUGCGUGCGCGCCGUGCUGGCCGAGCUCGUCCUCACCUUCCUCUUCGUCUUCACCGGCGUCUCCGCCUCCAUGGCCGCCGGGGCCGGCGGGAAGCCCGGGGAGGCUAUGCCGAUGGCGACGCUGGCGGCGGUGGCUAUCGCGCACGCGCUGGCCGCUGGCGUCCUGGUGACGGCCGGCUUCCACGUCUCCGGCGGCCACCUCAACCCCGCGGUGACGGUGGGGAUCUUGGUUCGCGGCCACAUCACCAAGCUCCGGGCGCUGCUGUACGUCGCCGCCCAGCUGCUGGCGUCCUCCCUCGCCUGCAUCCUCCUCCGCUACCUCAGCGGCGGCAUGGUGACCCCGGUGCACGCCCUGGGCGCUGGCAUCAGCCCGAUGCAGGGCCUGGUGAUGGAGGUGAUCCUCACCUUCUCGCUGCUCUUCGUCACCUACGCCAUGAUCCUGGACCCGCGGAGCCAGGUCCGGACCAUCGGCCCGCUGCUGACGGGGCUCAUAGUCGGCGCCAACAGCCUCGCCGGCGGCAACUUCACCGGCGCGUCCAUGAACCCGGCGCGGUCCUUCGGUCCCGCCAUGGCCACCGGGGUCUGGACCAACCACUGGGUCUACUGGAUCGGCCCGCUGCUCGGCGGGUCCCUGGCCGGCUUCGUGUACGAGUCGCUGUUCAUGGUGUACAAGACGCACGAGCCGCUGCUCAAUGGAGACAUCUGACGACCGUCGGGCCCCCAGGGCAGUGAGCACGGUUCAUGCUUGUUUUCUGUAAAAUAGUUCGUUACCUACAAGCAUGAUGCAUAUAUUGACCAAGGUAAUUAAUAGGAGAGGGUUGCUGUUACCCUGGUGGGAUUGUGGGAUGUAGAAAUUGUUGCUGGGCUUUGCUUUUUUUUUUACUUUUCCUCCCAAGGAAUUUUUUAAGAGGGCUG